rnacentral:misc_RNA from 1 species
UUUGUGGGGUGUCAUGUACAGGUGAAGGAGAAGCUAUCAUACGUGGUACCCUAGCACGUGACGUGGCAGCAGUUAUGGAAUACAAGGAAUUGGGUCUUCAAGACGCAGUAAACUUUGUGAUUAAGAAGAGAUUGGAUAAAGGUUUCGCUGGGCUUAUUGCUGUGUCUAACAAAGGGGAAGUGGCUUUUGGGUUUAAUUGUAAUGGAAUGUUUAGAGGAUGUGCUACUGAAGAUGGAUUUAUGGAUGUUGGUAUUUGGUAAUACAGAUUUUAGAGAGACUUUUGAGUUUAUUAGGCUUUAAUUUUCAUUUAGCGAUGCUUGAUAAAUAAUUACUAGUACCAAUGUUUUAAGUUUAAUUUUGUAUUGGGCUUCAUAAAGUAAUGAA